rnacentral:rRNA from 1 species
UACAGAGGGGGCAAGCGUUGUUCGGAAUUACUGGGCGUAAAGGGCGCGUAGGCGGCCCGCUAAGUCGAACGUGAAAUCCCGGGGCUCAACCCCGGAACUGCACUUGAUACUGCGUAGCUAGGGUACUGGAGAGGAGACUGGAAUUUACGGUGUAGCAGUGAAAUGCGUAGAUAUCGUAAGGAAGACCAGUGGCGAAGGCGAGUCUCUGGACAGUUACCGACGCUGAGGCACGAAGGCCAGGGGAGCAAACGGG